CCAAUAGCGUAUAUUAAAGUUGUUGCAGUUAAAAAGCUCGUAGUUGAACUUCGGGAUCAAUGGAUUGGUCAUGCCGAUGGUGUGUACUGGUCAUAUUGGUUCUCACCUUCUAAGGAACCAUAAUGUCAUUUAUUUGAUGUUGUGGGGAAUUAGGACUGUUACCUUGAAAAAAUUAGAGUGUUUAAAGCAGGCUAACGCUUGAAUACAUUAGCAUGGAAUAAUGAAAUAGGACAUCGCAUUCUAUUUUGUUGGUUUCUAGGAUCGAUGUAAUGAUUAAUAGGGAUAGUUGGGGGCAUUAGUAUUCAAUUGUCAGAGGUGAAAUUCUUGGAUUUAUUGAAGACUAACUACUGCGAAAGCAUUUGCCAAGGAUGUUUUCAUUAAUCAAGAACGAAAGUUAGGGGAUCGAAGACGAUCAGAUACCGUCGUAGUCUUAACCAUAAACUAUGCCGACUAGGGAUCGGAUGAUGUUGAUUUUUUAAUGACUCAUUCGGCACCUUACG
rnacentral:rRNA from 1 species